rnacentral:lncRNA from 1 species
CGCCAUGGUGACUUGCAAGCAUUUCACUGCACUUAGGCACUGGACUACCUGAAUUUCUAAUUCAGUGACGGAAGGCUGCUGGGUGUAGUCAAGUACUUGACUUGUCGGUGCGUGUGUUAAGAUGGGAUUGACCACUCCAGUUUAGGAGCUGUGUACAGUCGUGUUUCAAUUUAGCAAAUCCUUGACCAGGAUAGUCCUAGUGAGGAGUCACAGGACUAAUUGAGUUGAACAUGAUUCGGAUGAUCUCAUCAGGGUUGACAGUUUAACCCUGAGU